rnacentral:rRNA from 1 species
UACGGGGGGGGCAAGCGUUGUUCGGAAUUACUGGGCGUAAAGGGCUCGUAGGUUGCCAACUAAGUCAGACGUGAAAUCCCUCAGCUUAACUGGGGAACUGCGUCUGAUACUGGAUGGCUUGAGUUUGGGAGAGGGAUGCGGAAUUCCAGGUGUAGCGGUGAAAUGCGUAGAUAUCUGGAGGAACACCGGUGGCGAAGGCGGCGUCCUGGACCAACACUGACACUGAUGAGCGAAAGCCAGGGGAGCAAACGGG